rfam:Ictidomys tridecemlineatus contig017417, whole genome shotgun sequence.
GGGGCUGUAGCUCAGUGGUAGAGUGUUUGCCUAGCAUGUGUGAAGCCCUGGGUUCAAUUCCCAGCAGCACAU